rnacentral:rRNA from 1 species
UACGUAGGGUGCGAGCGUUAAUCGGAUUUACUGGGCGUAAAGCGUGCGUAGGUGGUCUUUUAAGUCGGAUGUGAAAUCCCUGAGCUUAACUUAGGAAUUGCAUUCGAUACUGGGAGACUAGAGUAUGGGAGAGGAUGGUAGAAUUCCAGGUGUAGCGGUGAAAUGCGUAGAGAUCUGGAGGAAUACCGAUGGCGAAGGCAGCCAUCUGGCCUAAUACUGACACUGAGGUACGAAAGCAUGGGGAGCAAACAGG